UACAGAGGUCCCAAGCGUUACUGAGAAUCACUGGGGUUAAAGGGUGCGUAGGUGGUCCGUUAAGUUCGUUGUGAAAUCCCUGGGCUCAACCCAGGAACUGCUUCGAAUACUGGCGGACUUGAGGCCGGUAGGGGUCACUGGAACUGACGGUGGAGCGGUGAAAUGCGUAGAUAUCGUCAGGAACGCCGGUGGUGAAGACGGGUGACUUGGCCGGAUCUGACACUGAGGCACGAAAGCGUGGGGAGCGAACGGG
rnacentral:rRNA from 1 species